GCGCUCACCUCAGCGGCACAUAUACUAAGAUUGGAAUGAUGUAGAGAAGAUUAGCCUGGCCCCUGUGCAGGGGCGACACGCAGAUUUGAGGAGCGUUCUAUAUUUUU
ensembl:snRNA U6 U6 spliceosomal RNA